rnacentral:rRNA from 1 species
UACGUAGGGUGCAAGCGUUGUCCGGAAUUAUUGGGCGUAAAGAGCUCGUAGGCGGUUUGUUGCGUCGGCUGUGAAAUCCCGAGGCUCAACCUCGGGUCUGCAGUCGAUACGAGCAGACUAGAGUGUUGCAGGGGAGACUGGAAUUCCUGGUGUAGCGGUGAAAUGCGCAGAUAUCAGGAGGAACACCGGUGGCGAAGGCGGGUCUCUGGGCAACAACUGACGCUGAGGAGCGAAAGCGUGGGGAGCGAACAGG